UUUCCAGUGUGGUCACCUCCUGCUGGAAGCCUGUGAUGCUGGAAUCAGGCCACUUCCUGUUUGUCUUUACAGGACACUGGGCUGCACUCUGAGAAGUUCCUGGAUCUCCCCUGGACCUGACCAUCAUGUGGCCAGAGAAAUUGGUAACAUUGUUGUUUUGCCUGUUGAAAUGUUUAAUGACAUGGAUUCUUUCAGUUUCCUGAUGUGUGUGAAGUGUGGAGCCCAGUGAUGAUUUCUUCUUCAAGAAAUCUACAUUCUUGCUCCCCUAGGAGGGUGGGCCCCCUACCAACGGUGAGAGACCCUGCAUGUGUGUGACCUGUGCCUCCUGGGAGACCAGCCCUAAACUAGUUUGAACCUGACCAAGUUCUGUCUAUAUGGUAGAUUUAGACCUCUCCAAGUCUUGUCUACACUGAUGUUUAGACGAGAGCGUGUGCUUUCUGCAGUGAGGACAUUUAGGCCUGACCUUGUACUCUCUGCACUAGGUCGUAGAGACCUGGCCUGGCCUCUGUCCUGGAAAACUCUAUGCCUGCAUCUGAACGUCAAUGCUCAGGGGUCUGGAGCUGAGAUGGGCUUCUCUGGGUAACCGUGCUCUUCUCUGAGUGGGGUUCCAUGGCCCUCCCAGGGGUCAGUGUUGUGGUAGGGUUUGUAGUCUUUCUCCCUGCAAGAUUCACCUUCCCUGGGGCUCCUUGAGACUCCUCAGGUGGGCUGACUAGUAAUUUAUUCCAAUGUUCCAGCACAUUUAGGUUUAAUAGGGAGGCAGGUUCACCUGGCGAAUUGAUUCCAGGGCACAGGGAUCAGGCAAAAAGUCAAUGGGCAGCAGGUGAGGGUGCUGCUGUGACCUCCUUCCAGUCGACUCUCGCCUCCAAAGAGAACAGAGCUUCCCCUCAUCUUUCAGCCCAGCUCUCCUGUUUUCUCAGCACUUCAGCAGGACAAGAAAGACAGAGCCUGCCAGAACCAAGUCGACCGUCCCUCCUCAGCAGAGACCAGACCUGCCCCUCGUCUCCCAGCCCUGCGCCUGGUGUGUGUUUUGUCAACACUUCAGUGGAACAAGAAAGGACCAAGCCUGCAAGAACCAAGGUGUAUAUGAACUUGAUUCAGUUAUACCUGCUGCUGCUGCUGCUGCCGCCGCCUCGCUUUAGUCAUGUCCGACUCUGUGCGACCCCAUAAACAGCAGCCCACCAGGCUUCCCGUCCCUGGGAUUCUCCAGGCAAGAACACUGGAGUGGGUUGCCAUUUCCUUCUCCAAUGCAUGAAAGUGAAAAGUGAAAGUUAAGUUGUUCAGACGUGUCCGACUCUAGCGACCCCAUGGACUGCAGCCUACCAGGCUCCUCCAUCCAUGGGAUUUUCCAGGCAAGAGUACUGGAGUGGGGUGCCAUUGCCUUCUCCGCAGUUAUACCUAGAUGUUUAUCUAUUCUUUUUCUGCUUUUUUACUCAUAUAGGUUAUUACAUUUUUUCCAGUACAGUUUCCUGUUCUAUUCAGAAAACUUAAUAUAUUAUCAACUUGAUAUAUAUUAGUGCAUAUAUUUCCAUCCCAAACUAUUAAUUUAUCCCUCUCUUCUAACUUUCUUUUGAUAAUUGGAAUUUGGUUUUCUCAGGCUGUGAGUCUGUCUGGUACAUUAGUUCACUGGUAUGAAUGUAUAGAUUCCACCCGUACGUAUCACAUAUUUGUCUCUGACUUACCUCACAUAGAAUAUAAUUUCUUGGUUCAUCCAUGCUGCUGCCAAUGUCAUCAUUUCAUUUUGUUUUACGACUGAGUAGUAUUCCAGUGUAUAGGUGUACCUCAUAGCCUUCACCUUUCUGUCACUGGACAUUUUGGUGGAUUCUAUAUCUUGGCUUUUGUAAAUAGUGUUGCCCUGAAAGUUGAGGUGCACGUGUCAUUUUGAAUGAUGAUUUUUUUCUGGACCUGAGUCCAGGAAUGGGAUUUCAGGAUCAUAUGAUACCUCUCUGUUUAGUGUUUCAAGGAACGUCCAUGAUGUUUUCCAUAGUGGCUUCACCAUUUACAUUCCCACCAGGAUUGUAGGAGGAUUCCUUUUUCUGUACAUUCUCUACAGUGUUUGUUCUUUGUAGAUCUUUUCGAUGAUGGCCACUGUGACUAAGGCAAUACCUUAUUGAAGUUUUGAUUGGCAUUGAUUUAAUAAUUAUUGAUGUGGAGUAUCUUUCCAUGUGCUUUUAUUAUUUUACACCUUGUGAGUACAGUUUACCUCUUGAAACUGGCUUCUAGAAACUUGACCCUGUUUGGAAUUCUUUUGCGAUGAUUUACCUCAGGACAUUCCUUGAGUGCAGGUGUCAUUUAAAGUCCUGCUGGACUUUUGACUAUUAAGAGCCCUUCAGCACGUGUUUUAUGGCUUCCCUGUUGGAUCAGCGGUAAGAAAUCCACCUGCAAUGCAAGAGACUUGAGGAGACACAGUUUUGAUGCCUGGGUUGGGAAGAUCCCCUGGAGAAGGAAAAGGCAACCCACUCCAGUCUUCUUGCCUGGGAAAUCCCAUGACAGAUGAGCCUGGCAGGCUACAGUCCAUGGGGUUCCAAAGAGCUGGACACGAGUGACUAAACAAAACAGCAGCUGUUUUAAUGUGUAUAUAUUGAUCUGAACCCCCUAAUUACUCCCUGCCCCCUGACAUUUCUUUUUGGUAAACAUCAAGCUUCUUUUCUAAGUCUGUGAAUCUGUUUCUCUUCUGUAAUGAAGUUCAUUUGUAUCCAUUUUUAGAUUCUGCCGGAAGUGAUAUCCUAUGAUGCUUGUCUCCCUGUUUCACUUUCUUCACUUACUGUAAAUCACCUCUGGUUUCUUCCCUGUAACUAGAAAUGUCAUUGUUUCAUCCUUUUUUAUUUCUGAGUAAUAUUGCAUUGUGUAUAUGUACCCCAUCUUCUGUAUCCAUUCAUCUGUCUUGGUACACUUAAGUUGCUUCUGUAUCUUUGCUACUGUACCUAGGGCUGCUAUGACCUUUGGGGUGCAGGUUUCUCUUUAUAUUUUGGUUUUCUCUGGAUCUACACCUAGGUAUGGUAUUGCUGGAUCACUUGGUACUUCUAUUUUUAGUUUUCUAUAAACCUCCAUAAUGUUCUCCAUAGUGGGUGUACGAUUUACAUUCCCACCAACAGUGUAAGAGGGUUCCCUUCUCUCCACCGCCUCUGGAGAAUUUACUGUUGUAGGUUUUUUGAUAUGGUCAUUUAGAUCAACCAUAUUGCCUUUCCAAUGACAAAGAAAGGUAAUGCCAAAGAAUGCUCAAAUUACUGCACAAUUGCACUCAUCUCACAUGCUAGUAAAGUAAUGCUCAAAAUUCUCCAAGCCAGGCUUUAGCAGUACGUGAACCGUGAACUUCCAGAUGUUCAAGCUGGUUUUAGAAAAGGCAGAGGAACCAGAGAUCAAAUUGCCAACAUUCGCUGGAUCAUCGAAAAAGCAAGAGUUCCCAAAAAAACCAUCCAUUUCUGUUUUAUUGACUAUGCCAAAGCCUUUGACUGUGUGAAUCACAAUAAACUGUGGAAAAUUCUGAAAGAGAUGGGAAUA
rnacentral:lncRNA from 1 species